rnacentral:rRNA from 1 species
GACGAACGCUGGCGGCGUGCUUAACACAUGCAAGUCGAACGGAAAGGCCCUGCUUUUGUGGGGUGCUCGAGUGGCGAACGGGUGAGUAACACGUGAGUAACCUGCCCUUGACUUUGGGAUAACUUCAGGAAACUGGGGCUAAUACCGGAUAGGAGCUCCUGCUGCAUGGUGGGGGUUGGAAAGUUUCGGCGGUUGGGGAUGGACUCGCGGCUUAUCAGCUUGUUGGUGGGGUAGUGGCUUACCAAGGCUUUGACGGGUAGCCGGACUGAGAGGGUGACCGGCCACAUUGGGACUGAGAUACGGCACAGACUCCUACGGGAGGCAGCAGUGGGGAAUAUUGCACAAUGGGCGGAAGCCUGAUGCAGCAACGCCGCGUGCGGGAUGACGGCCUUCGGGUUGUAAACCGCUUUCGCCUGUGACGAAGCGUGAGUGACGGGAAUGGGUAAAGAAGCAACGGCUAACUACGU